rnacentral:rRNA from 1 species
GCUCCCUCCGCGCCACUCCACGACNCCUACCGGAGGCGUGGCACGUGGGGAAGUAGUUGCGCGAAUGGGCGAAGACCUGACGCAGCGACGCCGACGUCGGGGAGUGGACGCUUUCGGAGUGUAACCCUUCGAUCGGACGAAUGCUCGCAAGAGGAGUGACGGUACCGGUAGAAGAAGCCCGGCUAACUACGUGCCAGCCGCCGCGUAAUAC